GAUGAACGCUGACAGAAUGCUUAACACAUGCAAGUCAACUUGAACUUCGGUUUGGGUGGCGGACGGGUGAGUAACGCGUAAAGAACUUGCCUCACAGAUAGGGACAACAUUUGGAAACGAAUGCUAAUACCUGAUAUUAUGAUUAUAUGGCAUCGUAUAAUUAUGAAAGCUAUAUGCGCUGUGAGAGAGCUUUGCGUCCCAUUAGCUAGUUGGAGAGGUAACGGCUCACCAAGGCGAUGAUGGGUAGCCGGCCUGAGAGGGUGAUCGGCCACAAGGGGACUGGGACACGGCCCUUACUCCUACGGGAGGCAGCAGUGGGGAAUAUUGGACAAUGGACCAAGAGUCUGAUCCAGCAAUUCUGUGUGCACAAUGAAGUUUUUCGGAAUGUAAAGUGCUUUCAGUUGGGAAGAAAAAAAUGACGGUACCAACAGAAGAAGUGACGGCUAAAUACGUG
rnacentral:rRNA from 1 species